rnacentral:rRNA from 1 species
GAUGAACGCUGGCGGCGUGCCUAAUACAUGCAAGUCGAGCGAACGGACGAGAAGCUUGCUUCUCUGAUGUUAGCGGCGGACGGGUGAGUAACACGUGGAUAACCUACCUAUAAGACUGGGAUAACUUCGGGAAACCGUAGCUAAUACCGGAUAAUAUUUUGAACCGCAUGGUUCAAAAGUGAAAGACGGUCUUGCUGUCACUUAUAGAUGGAUCCGCGCUGCAUUAGCUAGUUGGUAAGGUAACGGCUUACCAAGGCAACGAUGCAUAGCCGACCUGAGAGGGUGAUCGGCCACACUGGAACUGAGACACGGUCCAGACUGCUACGGGGGGCAGCAGUAGGGAAUCUUCCGCAAUGGGCGAAAGCCUGACGGAGCAACGCCGCGUGAGUGAUGAAGGUCUUCGGAUCGUAAAACUCUGUUAUUAGGGAAGAACAUAUGUGUAAGUAACUGUGCACAUCUUGACGGUACCUAAUCAGAAAGCCACGGCUAACUACGUG